UUUUUAAUGAAACUUCAUGCUACCUCAUACUUGUGUGUGCAUCUGGUUUAUGUAUGCAUAUUGCACUUGAAUUAAGAUGUGUUUGAAUGCAUUGCUGGAUUAUUGGAAUUGUGAUGUGGAUGAUGGUUUUGAAUGAGGUGAUAAUUUUGGCUUUGAUGCACAUGCUAGAUGUGAGCAUACAUAUGAACUUGGGUAGAGAUAUAUUCUUGCAAUGUGAUAAUGAUUGGUGUGGUGCAUGUAUUGCAGGUUGGAUGGCUUUGGCAUGAAGUCAAGUGGUUUUCCAUGAAGGUCCAAGCCAUGCAUGAAGAUGAAUGAUCAUGGGGGACAAUGGUGUGAUUGUUGGAAGAUGAAUGUAGAUAGGUCUAGGGUCAUCUUAGGAUUUGGGUCAGGCUUUGAUCAACUGUUUGACCAAAAAAUCAACAGUUGAUCAAAAGUCAACAACAGGUCAAACUUGGAUUUUUUUAUGCAUUCUUCCAUUUUGUAGUGUAUUCUCUUGUAUUUGACUUUGAAAUUGGUUGACUUUCCAUUAAAACUUGUUUUCUAAGAAAUAACAUACUUUCCCCUCCUUUUGAAUUUUCUCUUAAAUGCAUUGUAUCUAUGAUUCCUUAAAAGGUAAUAUCCCAUCCAUAGUUGAAAUAAAGA
rnacentral:lncRNA from 1 species